UCCGUAGGUGAACCUGCGGAAGGAUCAUUAUCGAUUCGUAUUUACCUGCCUCUGGCAGUGCCACUGGUUUUACCAGUAAACAUAUACCUAGUAUAUGAAACAAAAUAAUAAAAAGAAAAUUUUCAACGGUGGAUAUCUAGGUUCCCAUAACGAGGAAGAACGCAGCAAACUGCGAUACGCAAUGCGAAAUGCAGCAUCCGCGAGUCAUCAGAUCUUCGAACGCAAUUGGCGACAAGAGUUAAUCAUUCUUGUCAUGUUUGCUUCAGCGUUAAAAUAUUUAUUAUCUAAAUGUCUUUGCAAAGCAAUUUGCUCAGAUUAAACAAGAAUGAGUCGCACUCUUUCUAAUGCAGUAGGCCGCAAGGCACUCAUUAGCGCUUUGAGUGAGGACUUCUAGAGAUCAAAGUCUUUAAAAAAUAAAUAAAACCUGAAGUAAGCGAGAGUACCCGCUGAACUUAA
rnacentral:rRNA from 1 species